GACGCCGUCUGUUCGGAGGACACUCGUUGCACUGACACGCCGAAUCGAGAUCUACCACGGGGAUCGAGAUCGAGAGUGAGAGACAGCAAAGGGGCUGGCGCGCACCGUUGGUCGAUCGUAGCCGACUGUUUGUGAACGUGAACGAUCGUACGCACUUUUAUCGCAUCGGCACGUGGUCUCUCGCGGUUCAUCAUGCAUCCAUCCCCCUACUUACGACACGUAACCUCCCUCUCUCACCCAUACUCCCUCCACAAUCACUGCUACACGAGUUUAUUUUUGAUUUUCGAAGCAUUUAUUUUGUACCGCGGACAACAAACUCUGUGCCAACUGUGUGUUCGAUGAGUACCGAACUGUCAUGGGAUUGAUCGAGGAAGUAACUUUAGAUGAUGAGAUUAGCGUGGAUCAGUUGGGAUUUCGAUGAUAAGGUCUGCAGAGUGAGGCUGAAAUAGAGAUGGAACUUUUUGUUUGGCUACUUCGAUUCGAUGCAGUACAUUUUACUAUUCUGAAAAUGAUUGAGUUACGGUUAAAAACGUAUAAUUUACUCGUUUAUCCAGAGAAGUUUUUCAAAUAUAUAGGUUUAUUAAUGAACACUUACGUUAAUAAUUGCUCACCCAAGCAAUUUAUGUGGAUAUAAAACAUGGAUUUAUGUCUGGGAGAUCCACUGUUGUUAACCUUGUAGAAUACAGUAAUUGCGUUUUAUCUACCGUACUCCAGACAAGUAUGCAAAUUGACACUAUUUUUAUCGACAUUAUGAACACAUUUGACGAGGUUCACCACGCAAUGUUAAUUUUGAAACUUUUUCCUUAGCGACAAUGUUGUUUCUAAUCAUCUCCUGAACCACCCUUUUCAAGGACCUCCAACAUUUUUGGGACACCUUGUAUACGCCCUUUUGUAAUCUGAAUCUAAUCUUCGAGGACGAAUAUAUGAAGGAUGAGUGUGGUGAUGUCAGAGUGCAUGCAGCGUGAAUGAAAAGACUGCAGAAUGUAAGAAUGUGUGUGAGAGGGCGAAUGUCCUAAGCCUUUAGUCGUAAGGUUUAGUUGAAAACAUAAGAUGCGCGGACGGUUGGUCAGGGAACAAUCGGAAGAGGACAGUCAGUCGAUCGCGACAAACCGAGAAACACCGUUAUUUUUAUUCCUUACUUUAAUUAAAUAUUUUUCGUUCUGUUCAA